GCCGACGUGGCGGAAUGGCAGACGCGGCAGACUUAGGAUCUGCUGAGCUACGCUCGUGGGGGUUCAAAUCCCCCCGUCGGCAC
rnacentral:tRNA from 1 species